AGAGUUUGAUCAUGGCUCAGGACGAACGCUGGCGGCGUGCUUAACACAUGCAAGUCGAACGAGGCCCCGCCUUCGGGUGGGUGUUCUAGUGGCGAACGGGUGAGUAACACGUGGGUAAUCUGCCCUGCACUUCGGGAUAAGCCUGGGAAACUGGGUCUAAUACCGGAUAUGACCUAAAGGCGCAUGCCUUGUGGUGGAAAGCUUUUGCGGUGUGGGAUGGGCCCGCGGCCUAUCAGCUUGUUGGUGGGGUGACGGCCUACCAAGGCGACGACGGGUAGCCGGCCUGAGAGGGUGUCCGACCACACUGGGACUGAGAUACGGCCCAGACUCCUACGGGAGGCAGCAGUGGGGAAUAUUGCACAAUGGGCGCAAGCCUGAUGCAGCGACGCCGCGUGGGGGAUGACGGCCUUCGGGUUGUAAACCUCUUCCACCAUCGACGAAGGUCCGGGUUUUCUCGGGCUGACGGUAGGUGGAGAAGAAGCACCGGCCAACUACGUGCCAGCCGCCGCGGUAAUAC
rnacentral:rRNA from 1 species